GAUUAGAAGCUUGCUUCUAUGACGUUAGCGGCGGACGGGUGAGUAACACGUGGGCAACCUGCCUGUAAGACUGGGAUAACUUCGGGAAACCGAAGCUAAUACCGGAUAGGAUCUUCUCCUUCAUGGGAGAUGAUUGAAAGAUGGUUUCGGCUAUCACUUACAGAUGGGCCCGCGGUGCAUUAGCUAGUUGGUGAGGUAACGGCUCACCAAGGCAACGAUGCAUAGCCGACCUGAGAGGGUGAUCGGCCACACUGGGACUGAGACACGGCCCAGACUCCUACGGGAGGCAGCAGUAGGGAAUCUUCCGCAAUGGACGAAAGUCUGACGGAGCAACGCCGCGUGAGUGAUGAAGGCUUUCGGGUCGUAAAACUCUGUUGUUAGGGAAGAACAAGUACGAGAGUAACUGCUCGUACCUUGACGGUACCUAACCAGAAAGCCACGGCUAACUACGUGCCAGCAGCCGCGGUAAUACGUAGGUGGCAAGCGUUAUCCGGAAUUAUUGGGCGUAAAGCGCGCGCAGGCGGUUUCUUAAGUCUGAUGUGAAAGCCCACGGCUCAACCGUGGAGGGUCAUUGGAAACUGGGGAACUUGAGUGCAGAAGAGAAAAGCGGAAUUCCACGUGUAGCGGUGAAAUGCGUAGAGAUGUGGAGGAACACCAGUGGCGAAGGCG
rnacentral:rRNA from 1 species